AAUGAACGCUGGCGGCAGGCCUAAAACAUGCAAGUCGAACGCCCUAGCAAUAGGGAGUGGCGCACGGGUGAGUAACAUGUGGGAAUAUGCCUUUUGGUACGGAACAACGUUUGGAAACGAACGCUAAUACCGUAUGGUCCCUCCGGGGUAAAGAUUUAUCGCCAAAAGAUUAGCCCGCACUAGAUUAGCUAGUUGGUAAGGUAAUGGCUUACCAAGGCGACGAUCUAUAGCUGUUCUGAGAGGAAGAUCAGCCACACUGGGACUGAGACACGGCCCAGACUCCUACGGGAGGCAGCAGUUAGGAAUAUUGGACAAUGGGCGCAAGCCUGAUCCAGCCAUGCCGCGUGCGGGAAGAAGGCCUUCGGGUUGUAAACCGCUUUUGUCAGGGAAGAAACGAUCCGAUCUAAUACAUUGGAUUAAUGACGGUACCUGAAGAAUAAGCACCGGCUAACUCUGUGCCAGCCGCCGCGGUAAUAC
rnacentral:rRNA from 1 species